GGAAAGGGCGACUGAGGCUCAAGUCUCUUAAAUAACAUACCAAUUUACUACCAAGAUGAAGGGCAGUAACAUGCGUUCAUGACCAUUUAAUUGAGCAUUUACUGGGUGCUGGCACCAUGCCAUGUAUUUCCUGUUCAUCGUCUCAUCAACCGUAAUAAAAACCUUACGAGCUCGAUUUCACUACUUCAGCCUUUUUAUAGUUUUCAGAAAACUAUGAUUCAGAGAGGUUAGGUGUCUUGUCCAAAGCCACUCAACUACUAAACAGCAGAACUGUAUUUCAUGUUCAUGUUCUUGUUAAUUUAAAUUUACUUAACUUUUUGAACAGGUAAAUCAUUCACGUGUUUCAAAAACUGUAAAUUAUACAGUUAUACAGUGAAAAGUCUUCCUCCCAUCCUUGUCUCCAGCAUAUAUAAGUGAACACUAUUUUUAGUUUCUCAUAUAACCUUCUAGGAUUUUCUGCUCUAUACAAAUAUGAAUACAGACUUAUACUCCCAUUUUUUUAAUAUGAGGUAAGUUAUUACUUAUAUAAGAGGUAACAGUCACCUGCAUUUUGGUUUUUUUACUAAACAAUACACCUUGGAGAUCUUUUGACAUCAUUGUAUGAAAAGCCUCAUUGUUUUGUUAUCAACUGCAUAGUAUUUCACUGUAUGGAUAUACCAUUAGUUAUUAAACUAGAUCUUUAUUAAUCAAUAUCGCUUUCUCCUCCAAUUUUUCCUAUUAUAAACAAUGCUGCAAAUAUAACCUGUAUAGGUGUAAUUUUGCAUUUGUGCAUGUGUAUUUGUAGGAUUCAUUUUCAGGUGUGGACAUGCUAUGUCAAGGGGAUACACACUUGUCAUUUUGGUAGAUACCACAUUGCCGCCCACAGGAUUAUAACAAUUUAAUCUCCCACCAAAAAUAUAUGAAUGUCCCUCCCUGUUUCCUUAUAGCCUCUGUUAUUAAACUCUUGGAACUUCUGAUAGGUGAAAAAUGUGGUUUAAAUCUGCACUUCCCUUCUUAUGAGCAGAAGUGACUAUCCUUUCAUGUUUGACAUCAUUUUAUAUUUUUCUGUAAAGUAUCUGUUCUUACAUUUUGUUAAUUUUUCUGGGAGGUCUUUACCUCAUCUAUUUGAAAAAGCUCUUUACAUAUUAGGGAGAGGAGUCCCUUGCCUGUUAUAUGAAUUACAGAUCCAUUCCCUAGGUUUUCUAAAGCCCACCUUUGGAUUUUAAGGUGCUUGUGUAACAGAGUUUUGAUUUCUACUCAUACAUAGUUCAGUUUAUUAAUUUAAUUCGAUGGCUUCUGGGUUUUCAUUUGCAGUUAGGAAGGUCUUCCUUACUUGAAGUUUAUCAAGAAAUUUUACCACGUUUUUUUUCCCCAGAGCUUUUAGUUUCAUUUUUCACAUUUAAAUUAUUGAUCCAUUUGAAAUUUAACUUGGUGUAAAGUAAAAGAUAUGGCUCCAAUUUCAUUUUUUUCCAGAUGGCUACUAAGUUGUCCCAAUAAUAUUUAGUGAAUAAUUCAUCUGUUUCCCACUGAGAUGCUACCUUUAUCAUAUACACAAUUCUAGUAUUUAAUUUUGGAUUGAUUUAGGUCUAAUUCUGGAUUUUCCUAUCUAUUUCAUUUGCCCCUUUUGAGGGAUGGUCUCUAACUUCCAGCAAUCACAGACGUGGCAGUCAGAAAACUCACCGUGCUGCUUCUUUCUUCCAGUCUAAUUUUUUGGUACUUUUGUCAUUCUUCAUUGGUUGGGGAAUACAGUAUUUAUAUUUGCUUCUGUCACCCUAUUUCCCACCUUUGUUUUUGUAUGAAUUCUAUAGUUAAAUAUAUUCGCUUGUCACUGACAUUAAUUUUGUGUGGUUUCCCCAAUCAUCUCCUGGUUGGCUUAAGUUCAUCUUCUAGUAGUUUCCUCAAAAAGAAUUCAUGGGAACAACAGUCUUUGAGAUUGUUGUUACAAGUCUUUUUGUUAUCCCGAAAUUCUUAUGUUGAAGUCUUAACCUUUAAUAUCUCAGAAUGUAGCAUGUAUUUGGAGAUAAGGCCCUUUUUAAAGAGGGGAUUAAGUUGAAAUGAGGCCAUUAGUAUGGGACCCUAAUCCAAUCUAACUGGAUUUGUAUGAAGGAUUUAUAGAAUAGGAAGAGAAGCAUCAAGGUCACGAGUAUGCUGUGAAGCCGCAGCAAGAGGACUGCCAUUUGGAAGCCAAAGAGACAGGACGCAGGGGAAACCAACCCUCCUGGCAUCUGGAUCUCCCGUCUCCUCGCCUCCAGAACUAUGCUGGCACUUGCUUGGACAGAAGUGGUGCUGCUCCAGUUCCGUGCAUGGGCUCUACGAGGCCCGGACGCUUCUGUUUUCACCUGCGUAGAGCCCUAAGCCACCAUGUGAAAAGGUACAGCUACUCUGCUGGAGAGAUUACACGGACAGCGAACAUUCCCAGCUGUGCCCCAGCGAUUCCAGCCACUCUAGCUGAGGCGCCAGAAAUGUAAACUAGACUUUACUGCUCCUGCUGACUCCAGGCUGGGCCAUGUGAGCUGCUUUGGCCAAAGGAGUGUGAGUAGAGAUGAUGUAUGUUAAUGUCAAACAGGCUUAUAUUGUUUGGCUGUUUUUCUUCAAGCCUCCACCUUCUUUCAUGAGAAUAGCACUGAGAUUUUGGGUUGUCUGUUGCCAAGGCAAAAGUUGA